UGCACAUAAGUGGUCCGCAGGUGCGUAUGCGCUGUCAAAAUAAAAAACACGCACCAGAUAAGAAGUUGCAACGCGCGUUUGCGUACAUAAGAUUUUCUGGAGGAGAACAGACAAUUGUUUAGAACUCUUAAAGAAGUCGAAGAAGCUCCUUUAAGCAAUUACUUUGGUGUUCCUCCACCUCCAAAGAAAUGUCAGGAGUCCGAACCGUAAAAGAAGCGCGUAUUCUCGGAAAAGCGGUUGCAGGAGGUGAGCUGGCUUCACACAAAUGAUGAACGCACAGAAUAUGCCGUGAAAAUCCCACUCGGACAACUUCUUAUCUGGUGCACGUUUUUUAUUUUGACAGCGCAUAUGCACCUGCGGACCACUGAUGUGCACCCCUGUGUAUAGGAAUGGGCUUCAUAGCUGGUAUGAGGUGUUAGUAUAUGAGGCGUUUGUCAUGUGUUGUUGUUCAUCUACAGUUAUAUUUAUCACAUUUUUAGACCAACCUUUUAGAUCUCCUAAUGACAGGAUUAUUUCCCAAUACAUAAAACCAUAGAACUGAAAGGAGGUGUAAUUUCUUUUUUAUAUGAAUGGACAGGCAACACAUUUGUACAAAAUAUGAACUUAAGUUUUUAGUCUUUAAUAUUGUGUGCUGGGUUCAUAUUUGUCUUUCAACCAGUACAUGUAGUUUCAUGUCUACUACACAUACUGGUUGAAGGGUAGGUUUUAAAGUUUUUGUUUUGAAACAAACAAACACUUUUGGAGUCUUUGGCUUGAAAGUCAAAUGCAUGUAACAAAGUGUGUUGAUUAUUAAAUGAGAGCUUUGUCAUCAUCACCUAUUUCCCUAAUAGAAAAUGUGGUAUGCCAAAGGAUUCAACCCUCUAUCCUUUUGUUUUCAGCCCUUUAUUUUCCUUGGACACAACUUAAAUUAGCAGCAAAAAUUCAGCAUGGCAGAAGUUAGUCAUCUAUAGAAAUCGACUUGUUGAUAUAAGACAAUUAAGAGUCAUGUUAGCAGCUCAGUGAGGCUGUAUUUGGGCGAAGCUUUGAGCUACACUACACAUUUCCAAAAUUAUUCCGUCACCCAUCCAACGCAUUGAGUUAAGGGGUUCAAAGGGUGUAUAAAAGCAAAUACCUAGGCAUGCAGACUGCUUCUGCAAACAAUUGUGAAAGAAGUGGUCACUCUCAGGAGCUCUGCAAUGACAGCAUGCUAAGAUGUUCACAUUGACAAUAUUUAAUUGGUUUACCUUGUAGCUACCAUCUAUCUUAAUUUAGUGUGUUAUUGGGCUAUAUUUUUCAUUUGUUUUGCAGGGAUUUUGACUUUAUAGUGGCUCAAGCUUAGUUGCUCCUUGAGAUAAUAGCUGGCCCUUCAUAAAUGGUAAAUUGAGUGGUUCUUAUCGAGUGCUUUUCUACUCUGAGCGCUUUACACAACUUCCUUGAUUCACCCAAGCACUUUUUUUUUCUAUUCUCUUUCUAUGUAAGUUCUUCUAUCUAACAUUCACACAUCGAUGGAUGCACUGGAGAGCAACUUGGGUUUAGUAUCUCGCCCAAGGAUAUUUGACAUACGAGACCGGAACCACCAACAUUCCAAUUAGUACUGCCCAUGUACUUGUAUCUAUGUCAGACUAAGCCCAUCAUCCUAUGGCAACGGUAUUUCUUGGUGCAGCUUCCUCCAGCAGAACUCAUACUCAGAAAAACAUCUGCUUAGGAUUGGCUUAAGAAACAAGCAUCCUUCAACUUCUCUGAAUCCUUUGGCUCUUGUGAGUUCUAGGGUGGGCCUCUUACAUUGGAACACUGUCUACGUUGCCAUAUACAAAUAUAUCCACCAGUGUUUACAGUCUUUGUACCAGUACUAAAACAGUCCUUGUGUUCACUUUGAAGUUCAAGUUUCACUGUUAGGUUAUUUUCAGAUUUCUGAUUACUGUAUGUCAUUUCCCACUCAUUAUACCUCAGGACAUUUUUUUUAAUCAAUUAAUUAAUUAAUUAAUUAACUUAUUUGUUUGUUUUCGUUUUUUGGAUGGGGUGGGGGGCAACAAGACGCUGUUCCUAUUGUAGCUCUAAUAAAACUGUGGCCUCUGGGGGUUCCAGCAGGGCUAUAAACUAAUAGUUUUGUGUUAAACUCUGGUGACUUACGUUCUUUUCCUCAAUGUCACCGGCAAAUACCACUUACAAAUCUGUACUUUUAGCAGAGUUACUGCAGCUUUUAGCAAAUAAAUGGGAGAAAACAGAGAACUAUUAAUUAAGAACAAUUUUUCAGCAGAGGAUUUAUCCAGUUUAGGGGUAGCAGGUGGGAAAAUAUCCACGAUGAAAUAUGUUGCUCAGCACAACAGUACCACUUUGAGUUUGCACAUAGGAAAUGGUUGAGUAUAGUUUCUGACAUGUCAUUUAGCAUAACGAUGUACUCAUGAUAUCAGUGGUACAUAAUCUUUCUGACAGGCCUUGUUAUUCUGCACAAGACAACAAUGUGUAAAGUUCAGUAUAUUCUUGAAUAAUUUGUAACCUAGUGUGCAUCCAGUGGACUGUUAGUAACUUGUUCAAUAAUACUGAUAAAUCCUGCUGUACACUUACACUUGGUCAUGUAGUUAAUUUAAUGCUUUUUGAAAACACUAAACAAAAUUUUCACAUCAACAUCUUUUACAUUUGUAGAAACAUCUCCAUCAGUCAAAGUAAAAGUUUUCCUUUAAUUGUUCUAUUGUUGUUGUUUUUUUCCCCAUUAUGUUUAGAUUUUAUUGGGUAAGUAAAAGUAAGCCAUUUGAGUGUCUGCUAUUUAUUCCCUUUCUUCCUGGUGCUACCACUUUGGACUUGGUGUUUAAAAAAAAACAACUCAUUGUGCAAGUGCUCUUAAUGCUUUUUGGAAUCACAGCAUUCAAUGUAACCAGAAUCAUAGAGUCCUUUGAGUUUCAGUAUGGUAAAAAAUAUUGAUGUUAACAUGAAGCUCCUGACAUGUCCUUCUGAGGCCAUUUGCCAAUGUCAUUAAAAAAAUAUAUUUGUACCAUG
ensembl:lncRNA